ensembl:lncRNA
GCCAAUAUGUUUGUUUUUUUCGCUACAGAAUAAUCCACUUUACUCUUCAGUUUCACAUUAAAGGAACAGUGUACCAUAAUGAGUACAGCAGGAGUGGAGCGACGGAGGCCAACCCCAGCACAGACCCCUGAGGAGAGAGAGGGAUGGGGCCAGACAGGGAGAGAGGAGAGAGAGGGAUGGGGCCAGACAGGGAGAGAGGAGAGAGAGGGAUGGGGCCAGACAGGGAGAGAGGAGAGAGAGGGAUGGGACAGACAGGGAGAGAGGAGAGAGAGGGAUGGGGCCAGACAGGGAGAGAGGAGAGAGAGGGAUGGGACCAGACAGGGAGAGAGG